UUGCCGCUCGGAUUUUGCUCUUUUUUUAUUUUUUUUUAUUCUGUAGUUUCCAAAUUUGAAUUUUCCAGAAAUUUAAUUUAAUUGUUCUGAAAUCCGAUUACAAAAAUCAAAAUUUGAUUGUACUGUUAUGAGAUGAUUCAACGGUUCAUUGACAACAUCAUCGCCGUCACCAAAGACCGUCGUAGUGGUCAUCGGCUGUUGUUACAGUGGAACAA